GGUUAAGCGACUAAGCGUACACGGUGGAUGCCCUGGCAGUCAGAGGCGAUGAAGGACGUGCUAAUCUGCGAUAAGCGUCGGUAAGGUGAUAUGAACCGUUAUAACCGGCGAUUUCCGAAUGGGGAAACCCAGUGUGUUUCGACACACUAUCAUUAACUGAAUCCAUAGGUUAAUGAGGCGAACCGGGGGAACUGAAACAUCUAAGUACCCCGAGGAAAAGAAAUCAACCGAGAUUCCCCCAGUAGCGGCGAGCGAACGGGGAGCAGCCCAGAGCCUGAAUCAGUGUGUGUGUUAGUGGAAGCGUCUGGAAAGGCGCGCGAUACAGGGUGACAGCCCCGUACACAAAAAUGCACAUGCUGUGAGCUCGAUGAGUAGGGCGGGACACGUGGUAUCCUGUCUGAAUAUGGGGGGACCAUCCUCCAAGGCUAAAUACUCCUGACUGACCGAUAGUGAACCAGUACCGUGAGGGAAAGGCGAAAAGAACCCCGGCGAGGGGAGUGAAAAAGAACCUGAAACCGUGUACGUACAAGCAGUGGGAGCACGCUUAGGCGUGUGACUGCGUACCUUUUGUAUAAUGGGUCAGCGACUUAUAUUCUGUAGCAAGGUUAACCGAAUAGGGGAGCCGAAGGGAAACCGAGUCUUAACUGGGCGUUAAGUUGCAGGGUAUAGACCCGAAACCCGGUGAUCUAGCCAUGGGCAGGUUGAAGGUUGGGUAACACUAACUGGAGGACCGAACCGACUAAUGUUGAAAAAUUAGCGGAUGACUUGUGGCUGGGGGUGAAAGGCCAAUCAAACCGGGAGAUAGCUGGUUCUCCCCGAAAGCUAUUUAGGUAGCGCCUCGUGAAUUCAUCUCCGGGGGUAGAGCACUGUUUCGGCAAGGGGGUCAUCCCGACUUACCAACCCGAUGCAAACUGCGAAUACCGGAGAAUGUUAUCACGGGAGACACACGGCGGGUGCUAACGUCCGUCGUGAAGAGGGAAACAACCCAGACCGCCAGCUAAGGUCCCAAAGUCAUGGUUAAGUGGGAAACGAUGUGGGAAGGCCCAGACAGCCAGGAUGUUGGCUUAGAAGCAGCCAUCAUUUAAAGAAAGCGUAAUAGCUCACUGGUCGAGUCGGCCUGCGCGGAAGAUGUAACGGGGCUAAACCAUGCACCGAAGCUGCGGCAGCGACGCUAUGCGUUGUUGGGUAGGGGAGCGUUCUGUAAGCCUGUGAAGGUGUACUGUGAGGUAUGCUGGAGGUAUCAGAAGUGCGAAUGCUGACAUAAGUAACGAUAAAGCGGGUGAAAAGCCCGCUCGCCGGAAGACCAAGGGUUCCUGUCCAACGUUAAUCGGGGCAGGGUGAGUCGACCCCUAAGGCGAGGCCGAAAGGCGUAGUCGAUGGGAAACAGGUUAAUAUUCCUGUACUUGGUGUUACUGCGAAGGGGGGACGGAGAAGGCUAUGUUGGCCGGGCGACGGUUGUCCCGGUUUAAGCGUGUAGGCUGGUUUUCCAGGCAAAUCCGGAAAAUCAAGGCUGAGGCGUGAUGACGAGGCACUACGGUGCUGAAGCAACAAAUGCCCUGCUUCCAGGAAAAGCCUCUAAGCAUCAGGUAACAUCAAAUCGUACCCCAAACCGACACAGGUGGUCAGGUAGAGAAUACCAAGGCGCUUGAGAGAACUCGGGUGAAGGAACUAGGCAAAAUGGUGCCGUAACUUCGGGAGAAGGCACGCUGAUAUGUAGGUGAAGUCCCUCGCGGAUGGAGCUGAAAUCAGUCGAAGAUACCAGCUGGCUGCAACUGUUUAUUAAAAACACAGCACUGUGCAAACACGAAAGUGGACGUAUACGGUGUGACGCCUGCCCGGUGCCGGAAGGUUAAUUGAUGGGGUUAGCCGCAAGGCGAAGCUCUUGAUCGAAGCCCCGGUAAACGGCGGCCGUAACUAUAACGGUCCUAAGGUAGCGAAAUUCCUUGUCGGGUAAGUUCCGACCUGCACGAAUGGCGUAAUGAUGGCCAGGCUGUCUCCACCCGAGACUCAGUGAAAUUGAACUCGCUGUGAAGAUGCAGUGUACCCGCGGCAAGACGGAAAGACCCCGUGAACCUUUACUAUAGCUUGACACUGAACAUUGAGCCUUGAUGUGUAGGAUAGGUGGGAGGCUUUGAAGUGUGGACGCCAGUCUGCAUGGAGCCGACCUUGAAAUACCACCCUUUAAUGUUUGAUGUUCUAACGU
rnacentral:rRNA from 1 species